rnacentral:lncRNA from 1 species
GUCUCUUUCCCGCCUCGAUUUGCUUUGCACCGACAGACUGGAACUCAACACGCAGCACACAGUUGUUUGUAAUAAGGGCUCACCAUGUCUAUUUCUUAUCUGUUUGGUUCAUUAUUGACAAUCCUGUUAAUUCAAGGCUGUUGGGGUGGAGAAGAAACCAAGAAUGUUAGUUGUGCAAGCCUCCGAACUGGAAAUGCUUACAAAUACUGUGUAAAGGACAAGGAAAAUCCUAAAUGUGUGGAGUGGCAAUCAGUGGAUUCCAAUAAGACGUCUAUGUGGCUUGCUGAACUUUGCCAACACAAAAACACUACACAUGCACCCAAUGUGAUUGAUGUCAGCUACUCCUGCAUCACCCUCCUGGAGUGUGUCAACGUAGACCACACUGCCAUAAGCAAUGUGACUGAGCAUUUGACCCAUUUCGUUGUGUUUGGUGCAUCAGGUGAGAUGUGUAUAUUGCUUUUCAAGUUUGAGGAGCCUCCUUGUUUAAUAGUUUUUUUCUAGU